rnacentral:rRNA from 1 species
UGUUGCCUACGGGACGCAGCAGUGGGGGAUAUUGCACAAUGGGGGAAACCCUGAUGCAGCGACGCCGCGUGGGUGAAGAAGCGCCUCGGCGCGUAAAGCCCUGUCAGCAGGGAAGAAAAUGACGGUACCUGAAGAAGAAGCCCCGGCUAACUACGUGCCAGCAGCCGCGGUAAUACGUAGGGGGCAAGCGUUAUCCGGAUUUACUGGGUGUAAAGGGGGCGCAGACGGCGGUGCAAGCCAGGAGUGAAAGCCCGGGGCCCAACCCCGGGACUGCUCUUGGAACUGCGUGGCUAGAGUGCAGGAGG